rnacentral:tRNA from 1 species
GGGGUUGUGGCUCAGUGGUAGAGUGCUUGCCUAGCAUGUGUGAGGCCCUGGGUUCGAUUCUCAGCAUCACAU